UACGGGGAGCAAGCGUUGUUCGGAUUUACUGGGCGUAAAGGGCGCGUAGGCGGUCAGCACAAGUCAGUUGUGAAUCUCCGGGCUUAACUCGGAAAGGUCAACUGAUACUGUGCGACUAGAGUGCGGAAGGGGCAACUGGAAUUCUCGGUGUAGCGGUGAAUGCGUAGAUAUCGAGAGGAACACCUGCGGCGAAGGCGGUGCUGGGCUGACACUGACGCUGAAGCGCGAAAGCUAGGGGAGCGAACGG
rnacentral:rRNA from 1 species